CAGCCUCUGAGUAGCUGGGACUACAGGCACACACCACCAUGCCCAGAGAGAAACAGAAGUGGCUGGUUAUGAAAACCGGCAGCACAGCUUUUUCCCUCCCUGUGGUGUCUUCCCAGAUAAGAAAGCAGGCCUGAAUCCCGGGUGCUGUUCUUCCAGACCACAUGAAAGGAGCUCCUGUCUCCUCUGACUUCAGGUUGGACUGGCUAAUAGAAAGACCAAAAGGUGGCAGGAGAGCAGAGUUGAGCAUUCGUUCCCUGGCUCUCCCCCUGCCUCAGCACUGUGGCUCUGACAAUGACUGGAUCCCUCUACAACUUCGACUCUUAUCUAGAGCCUCCUUCCACAGUGAUUCUGCAUAUCUGUUACAUUCUAAGGCCACUUCACAACACUACCAAACCCAGCUUUACAGUUUGGAAGACUGAGAGAAUCAUACCCAAAGCCACAAACAUCCAAAUAUGGUGUUCUUCACAAGAAACUAAUAAUGAACUUGAGACAGAGUCUGCAGGGAUAGGUAUCAGAAGUCAAGUCUAAAGUAUAUGAGGUCUAUGUUCAAACAGGAGCCUGGACAUGACUGAGAUAAAGAAUGAUUCCCGAGCUGGGCACACUGGCUUAUGCCUAUAAUUCCAGUGACUCAGAAGGCUGAGGCAAGAGGAUUGCUUGAGGCCAAGAGUCUGAGGCUCUAUUGAGCUAUGAUUGCACCACUACUGUCCAACCUGGGGGACACAGCAAGAGCUUGUCUCUUAAAAAAGAAAAAAAAAGAUUGAGUCCAGAGUUAGAGCUACAGGAUAAAAAUAAGUUAACUGAACUCAGGGGGAGAAAGGAGGGGAACCUACUCCAAAUUCUAGCUCAGGUCUUACCUAAAUGUGGGCUGGCUCAGCUCCCAAGUGGCUGAGUGAGGUCAUGACUGAGAAGAAAGGACCCCUGGCCCAAGUCGUGAGUUGAAUGACUCUUAGGUUGAGAAGCUUUCGUACCUAAGAAUCAAGUGGCCAGUGGUGCACCAUGGGAGAGAUGAUCACCAAACUUUUCUUCUCUUUGAGGUCACACACCUAGAUUACCUGCCCCAGUCUCCCUUGCAGUUAGAUCUGGCUGUGAGGUUGAGUUUUAGCCAGUGGGAUAAAGAUGGAAGUUUCCACUGGCCUAACCCAUAAAUUCCUCCACAACUCUUCCCACUUUUAAUCUUAUGCCCCCAUGUCGUCUCUUCUCCCAGCCUUCUUCGUCUCAAUAAAUGUCACUAGCACAUAUCCAGUCAUUCAAGGAAAAACACAAUGGAGAAAACCAUCCUCAACUACCCAUUCCCUUUACCUCACUCUUUCCCAGCAUCCUGCAAAAUCUCGCUCCAAAUAUAGCUCCAGUUUGUCCACUUCCCUCCCUUUUCUCCAGUCUAUAACCUUGGUUUACUCCAUCACUAUCUCUCAAUUAGACUAUUGAAAUAAAAUCCUACCUGGAA
rnacentral:lncRNA from 1 species